ensembl:snRNA U6 U6 spliceosomal RNA
UGGUGACUUCGGCACUGAAUAUUCUAAAAUUGGAAUGGUACAGACAAGAUUAGAAUGGACCCUGCACAAGGAUCACAUAAGAAUUUAUGGUGUGUUCUAUAUUUAA